ACAGAUAUUAACAAACAAAGACGGGCAAAAGCAGGUAAAGAGCAUAAGGGAUUAACAACCACGACAUGCAACGAACAUAAUUAAAGAAUUAAAAUUCUUCGUGACCCAUUCGUGGAAACCCAACAUCUAUUCUAUUUUAAAAGAAAAUAAAAUAAAUAAAAUUGGACAAAAAAAAGCCCAAAAACGCCUAAAAUAGGCUGAAAAAACUCUCCAGUCCUUGUUUGGGCCCAAAAACGCGCGGCCCAGCCCUCAAAGCCCGUUCAGCAGCCCAAAAAAUGCAAGGAGAAGCCCAGGCCCGCGAACUGCUACCCGGAUCCGCGAACUGUACCCGGAUCCGCGCC
rnacentral:lncRNA from 1 species